UACGAAGGGGGCGAGCGUUGUUCGGAAUUACUGGGCGUAAAGGGCGCGCAGGCGGCCCUUGAAGUCAGGCGUGAAAGCCCCGGGCUCAACCUGGGAAUGGCAGUGGAAACUAGGGGACUGGAAUCUGGCAGAGGGGGGUGGAAUGCCGCGUGUAGCAGUGAAAUGCGUAGAGAUCAGGAGGAACACCGGUGGCGAAGGCGGCCUACUGGGCCAUCACUGACGCUGAGGUGCGAAAGCGUGGGGAGCAAACAGG
rnacentral:rRNA from 1 species